GGCCUGUUGGUCUAGUGGUAUGAUCUUCGCUUCGGGUGCGAGGGGUCCCGGGUUCAAAUCCCGGACAGGCCU
rnacentral:tRNA from 1 species